rnacentral:rRNA from 1 species
GAUGAACGCUAGCUGAAGGCCUAACACAUGCAAGUCGAGGGACCGGCGCACGGGUGAGUAACACGUAUCCAACCUGCCCUGUACUCGGGGAUAGCCUGUCGAAAGACAGAUUAAUACCAGAUAUAAAGAAUGGGGAUGCGUUACAUUAGGUUGUUGGUGAGGUAAAGGCCCACCAAGACUUCGAUGGAUAGGGGUUCUGAGAGGAAGGUCCCCCACAUUGGAACUGAGACCCGGUCCAAUCUCCUACGGGAGGCAGCAGUGAGGAAUAUUGGUCAAUGGGCGUGAGCCUGAACCAGCCAAGUAGCGGGAAGGAUGAAGGCUUAUGAGUCGUAAACUUCUUGUAUAUAAGAAUAUGUAUUAUAUGAAUAAGGAUCGGCUAACUCCGUGCCAGCAGCCGCGGUAAUUC